rnacentral:rRNA from 1 species
UGCCAGCCGCCGCGGUAAUACGGAGGGUGCAAGCGUUGUCCGGAAUCAUUGGGCGUAAAGGGCGCGUAGGCGGCCCGACAAGUCAGGGGUGAAAUCCCUCGGCUCAACCGAGGAACUGCCUCUGAAACUGUCAGGCUUGAGGCCGGGAGAGGGUAGUGGAAUUCCCAGUGUAGCGGUGAAAUGCGUAGAUAUUGGGAGGAACACCAGUGGCGAAGGCGGCUACCUGGACCGGUUCUGACGCUGAGGCGCGAAAGUGUGGGGAGCAAACAGGAUUAGAUA